UACGUAGGGGGCAAGCGUUAUCCGGAUUUACUGGGUGUAAAGGGAGCGUAGACGGCUUUGCAAGCCAGAUGUGAAAGCCCGGGGCUCAACCCCGGGACUGCAUUUGGAACUGUGUGGCUAGAGUGUCGGAGAGGCAGGCGGAAUUCCUAGUGUAGCGGUGAAGUGCGUAGAUAUUAGGAGGAACACCAGUGGCGAAGGCGGCCUGCUGGACGAUGACUGACGUUGAGGCUCGAAAGCGUGGGGAGCAAACAGG
rnacentral:rRNA from 1 species